CUCCGAUACUUCCUGGCUGCUUUGCCUGGUUACUUUGACCAAGGCUUGGGGCUGAGUUCUUGUGCUCGGAAAGAUGCAUAGAAGUAGGUACACUACAUGAAUAUGGAUCGUUAGUGAUAUAUAUAAAAAGCGUCAGGGGCAUAACACACAGGUGAUGACUCCAUCCCAGCCAGCCGUAUUUUUAUUAUUUGGAACGGCCGGUUCUACCCGACGGAUCAUUGCGUGCGGUUCGGACUUCCGACUCCCAGUCUGCAUCCCAUUUAUUUUGCGUCGUUCCAUUUCCAUUCCCCAUCAUCUUUCUCCUGUUCCCCAUUUUCUUUCCCUUCCGCUCCUCUCCCUUCUUGAUCCAGAGCAGCGCCCCAUGGAGGAUCUCGUUCCAGACAGCAGGCCAGCAAGUGGGAGCGCGGCGCUCCCCGUGGUGGCGAGCGCGGUGGAGCCUCGGGCGGCAGCAGAUGCGGACGAAGGCCUCGGCAGCGCGGGAUCCCGACGGCCUUCAGCAGGCGAGGCGCAGACCAAGGCGUGACUGGUGGUCGGCAAGGUGUGUGGCGGCACGCGCCGAAGCUCCGGUUCCUCUUCCUGAUCCCCCUGGCGUCGCAGAUCCAAGCACCCGCGUGCUCCCUCCGUCGCCUCUGAUUAGCUGACAGUACAUGCAGCAUCCUUUUAUUCAACUUAUUAUGCAGAGAUUGUUCAUCAAAUAGCCCAUACUUAUACGCAUGGCAGUAGGCAUAUCUUUAGCACUGCUUAACCUGGUUUAGCCAAUGUGUCUCCAUAAUCUCUUUUUCACCUCGUUUAGGAACCACAUUCUUUAAGUGACACAGGUUCAGAGUUUUUUUACAAUGUAACCCUAGAACUAAAAUGCCAAGCGUAAGUCCGUAACCCAGGCACCAUACCUCACUUUAUCUGGCUGGUAAUUUUCACUUUAGAAUUUUUUAGAGAUUUGAUAGGAUGCAUAGAGGACAGAAGUGGCAACAUGGAUGUGCUCCAUCUUCCAACGUGGUAUGUGCUCCAAACAAAGAUUUUUCAGUUUCUAUCGUCAAAACAGUAUGUUACUUUUUUCACUAGCAAUUAUACUUAUUCCUUAUAACAUUUUUAUAGCUUCCGAUAAGCAAUUUACAUUUCCUGAUUUAGCAAAUGCGUUUCUAGUGUUUUGUGCUAUUACCAGACACUAGUAGAACUGGAUAUAAUAAAGUGUGAUCUGCAUCAUUAUAUGAUUCUGAUCUACAAGCACACAUAUCUGACCAGAAUGAUGCAUCGUGUUUUUACCCUCAAUUAUAGGCUUUCUUUCCUCCAGUCACGGUAGUAUUGUGCUAGAUCCUAAGCAUCACUGGUUCUUUAGUUAGGCAAUAAUAUUGGUAUGAAUUAGGCAAUAACAUUGUUCUUGAUAGGCAAUAAUAUGGGUUACAAUAGGUACUUUUUAUGCGGAAGGUUACAUGCGGCUUCUGCAUGCUGCAGCUGCUGAAGAUAAUGAAUCAUCAUAUGGCAACUGCUGUAACAUAAAGUAUUGCAUUAUGGAUAGUUGAUGCACAUGUAGGAGCAGCUGCAUCAGCACAAAUUGUUGUGCUUGCGCCACAGUUGUAACAGCAUCAUUAGAUGCUAAAUCAACUAGCAAAUUAUUCAUUUGAGUGUUAUGUCUACCAAUGUCAAAAAUAUGAUGUUCACCAUUCCCAUUUUGUGAUUGUACAUGUUCAUUAUAGCAUUUCUAGCAUUUUUCCUGGCCACUUGUAUUUGAAGCUAAGUAGUUUAUUGAUUAUUCCUGACCACGUUGUAGAGAUGGAGUUUUCAGGAAUGCUAUCAUCCAUUUUUCUCUGCUUCAUGUGUUUAGAUGGUUGCUUGUAUGUAUCCUUUAUUCUUUUCUUUUUCUAGGUCAUUGGCUGGACCAAAAGUAAUUGGCUUGAGCUACUUCCCAUACAUGCAUAUGGGGAUGUAAUGAACUAAGUGGUGACCCAGAAUUACACCAUUGCGUACACACUUGUCUUAUGUUCA